UAUAUAUAUAAAAAUCAAUUGCUGUUCCUUUGUCUCGCUAAAACUCGAGAACGGCUGGACCGAUUUGGCAAAUUUUGGUCUUGAAUUAUUUAGAGAAGUCCAGGGAAGGUUUAAAAGGUGAGAAAAUAUCAAAUAAUUGACGGAAAAACCCUAAAAACUGCCCUUUCCUUUAUCCCAUACAAACGUUUUCUAACUAAUACGUAAAGUCAAUUUGAGCUUUAUUGCUAUUGGAUAAAGUUCAUUGUUGGAUAAAUGCUAUUGGAUACUAAAAAACAAAUGCUAUUGAAUAAGUGUGCGUUGGAGACUUGGAGCACAGAAUCCCUACUAAUAUUAUAAAUGCGAAAGUAACUCUGUCUGUCUGUAAUUACGCUUUCAAGCCUAAACCAGUGAACCGAUUUUGAUGGAAUUUAGUACUGAGAUAGAAUAAACCUUGAUACUUUUUAUUGCAAAAAAAUAGGGGAGAGUGGGUAAAAAUAGGGGAUGAAUGGUCAUAUGGAAAUUCGUCAUUUUUAAAGCUGUAACAGUGAAAUUUUGUAUUUAGACACUUAAUGAGGAGCGAAAGAACAUAGGCUACUUUUUAAUAAAAAGGGUAAAAGGCGUAGUAUGUUUGAUAGAGGAGAUUAAUGUUUGCUUGAAAAUUCGUCAUUUUCGUUAAUACGUUGCCUGUGGCUUCACUCGCGUUCGAUUCUUAUUUAAAUACACAUAUACUUAUUUAAAUCGCCAAUAUCCCUACUACCAUACUAAUGUUAUAAAUGCGAAAGUAAUCCUGUUUGUGUUGAGGUUACGCUUGCACGAAUGUUUUUUUUUUUUGAAUAUAACAACGAAACAAUGUAUUUUUUAUUGAUAGGCAAUAUAUAGGAAAUUAAAGGAUAAUAAUAUAGAUAACCUUGGCUACUUUUCAUCAUGAUUAUAAAAUGAUGAAUCGGCGGUCGUGGUUUCUUUGGAAUACAUAUCUUUAAAAAUGCUAACAGUAACAUAUUCUCAAGUAAUUCACAUUUUAGAUGACAUACGGCAGCAUUUUGACCACUAACACCACUACGCGGACGAAGUCGCGGGCAAAAGCUAAAUUCGAUAAAUUUUCAUUUGUACAUGUCAAAUAUUUGUUGUUUCUAAAUUCAAAUUCUGUAAAUAAUGAUUGACAUUUAUGCAUAAACUAUGAAAAGGGUGAAUAAACCUUUUCUCUGUAUUUUUUUUUAAUCUAUUGAAAAUGUUGAAAAGUGCAUUAAGCAUUAAUAGAAAUUCCUCAAAUAUUAAUUAUGCGUGCGUUCAGAAAUAAUGACAAAUUAUCAACAGUUACGCGUGUGUUCAGAAAUUUAUUUUGUGUAAAUUAAAGUUUCUAUUCACGUUUUCGAACAAACGAUGCUCUUUCAAUAUAGUCUAUUGGUGUGAAUGACAUUGACAUUCGUAUUGCGCGUUUUUUAAAAUAUGCAAAAUUAAAUGUAAUAUUUUCAAUAUUUCUGAGAGAUUAUCUUAAUAUUUCUUCGAGUUUUAAAGACUAAGAAGAUUUUUAUUUGCUAAUAAGUGAUUGUUAAUCAAGGUAAGUUCACAUCUUCAUUAUUGAUUUUUAGUAACUUUUGGUGACUACACAAUACUACAAUUUGGUAUACACGGUUAUGCAGAAAAUGUAUGAGAGCUUUUUAUUUUCAGUUGGAAUUUCGUUUUUAACAAUGCUACCAACCAGACGUACAAGCUUAGGCCGCAGAACUCGAAAUACGGCAAGUCAAAGAAAUAUAAGAGCAAAUCAAACCGAUGAGCAUCGCGAAGAGCGAAAUGAACUUGAACUGAAUCGAUAUCAAGAUAGAAAUGUUGUGUUUAAUCCCCGCAAAGCUGCAUUCAGUUAUAAUGUGGCAAUUGAUUACAGUUCAGAGCAAAUUGUUGCUAUUGGACUAAUGAACAUUGUGUGUCCACAUUGGGAUUGAAAUUAAAAAAUGAAGCCUCUGGAUUGUGUUGUGCCAGCGGCCAAGUCAAAUUGACGCCAUUGGUACCGCCACCAGAGCCACUACAUUCAUUGGUUCAUUUUGUGACUCAUAUCCAGCAGUACAAUAAUUGCUUUCAAAUGACAUCAUUUGGGGCAACAAAAGUUAUACGAGACAAUUUUUUGCCUACUUUUAGCAAAUUCAGGGAUUCAAAUAUAUCAUCAAACAGGUUCCUUAUUGCCAGUGCCUGUUGAAGACUAUACAUUUUUGCAAAUAUAUUUUAUGGACAAUUCAGCAAGAGAAGUCGAUCAGCGUUGCGCACACAACAACUCAGUAAAGAGAUCCAUUGUGAUGAACAACUUCAAACAUUUUUCCUUCAACACAAUGAAUUAGUUGCAUUAGACCGAUGCAUUAGACAUUCACAAAUGCAUUAGACCGCAUGCCAUCAGAUAAUCACAAAAUUGUCAUCAGAGCCGAUAAGGCGCCUGCAGGACAGUGAAAUGAUUGAAUCCUAUGAAAUAAACACUAUUAUGAAAAUA